rnacentral:misc_RNA from 1 species
UACAGUUGCUUGACUUGAUUCAAAAAAGGAUAUUGGGGUCACCAGUAGAGGCCGUACAUUUAGGGACUAGUUAACUCUUGCAAAUGUUUGUUAAGUAUAUGAAAAUUUAGCUGAAUCAAACUCUGAAUCUAGGAGUUGUUGAGUUCUUAAUAUAUGUUUUGGGUAUGAAAAGACCAGUUUUAUUUGUUGAAUGACACAUUUUGGGAGCUUUCUACUUGUACUUGUUUCCUAGGGGGCAGCUGAGUUUGAAGACAAUAAUUAUAUCUUGUACCCUACCUAUUUUGUAGCUGACCAAAAAGAAAAAUAGCUAACACUAUCAAGUAAACUUUACUGGGUAAGUGGAGGUGGCCUUAUUGAGCCAUGAUCUUUCUGUGAUCUUAUUGAGACACCUGUUUGUGAGCCCAUGUUAUUGCGCUUCACAAUUAUUGGCCAUUUGAAGGCUUAAUCAGAGUCUAGCUUAAGGCUAUGAUAGGGAAGGUGGAAAAUCAGAAGAAAGCAAGGGGAAAUAAAAUAGAGCUAGUUUUCACUUUUCUCUUGCAUGUGAAAGAAGGGAAAGUGGGGAAUAUGGAAAGUGUUGGGACUGUGGGUGGGAAAUAAAUG